AAAGCCUCGCGGCGUUGCCGCACAUGGCCAGUUGUUGGGCUAGUGUUAUUUUGGAGACAAUGAUUUCUUUUUGUUUGUUGGUAAAUUCCACACUGUUGUUACACGGGAUGCUUUUGGAGUAUGAGUAUUGAUACGGUGUCUUCUAAGUUCUUCUAGGUUCCCAACACCUCCGUUGGGAUCGGUUCCUGGUGCUAGUUCUUGAAAAUACAUGGUAAUAAGUAGUUUUCAAAUUGAAGCAAUGGAAAUCGACAUAUCUGGAAGAGUAUAUUAUGUGUUUGUGCACACAUUGUUAUGCAAUUAAGACUCUGCAUACAAAUCCAAGAAACAUCUGAGUUACAAAGAAACUGAAGAAUAAAAUUUGAUUCAUGGGUAUAAUAUAAGAUAUAGAUGCUAUGGGUAUCCAGUCUGCACAUUUUGCCACCGUUGUGUAGUUAUGAAUUCAUGAUACAUGAACAGCAAAACUCAAAAUAUUUGAAGAUACGGAUUAACAGUUUAAUUGAUGGAAUUGCAGUAAGUAUAUGAUAGUAGGAAAAUGACAUCAGAUUUAUCUGGUUGUCUGGGUGCAUCAGUUGCUAAAUUAGCUCCUGAAGUGCUACUCAGCUACAACUCUUGAAAACGUUGUCCAGGCAAUACCUGCCUUGGAGACAUUUCCUCAAGCGGUUUGUGGGCGGCUCGGUGUCAUCCAUUUGGAUGAGGCACCACACACCAAGGGGUCGGGCUGAGCUGUUUAGCAGGCUAUCUCGUGGGGAGGAGGAUCGGAGAUGACGGUGGCCUCGCGCUGGAGGAAGCGGGGGCGGACGGGCGGCCGGAGGGAGGGCGCUGCAGGCCGGCGUGGAGCAUGCGCCCGCCCGUGGCUGAUCUCGCGCGCGGCGGCUGGCAGUGGCUUGCGCGCUGCGGAUCUUGUCUCACAUCGGACGGAAGGUAGCUGCUUGGCUGCUCAUCGUCUAUCUUCUCGACCCAUCUUUUCCUCCUCACGGGCAGUGAGAAGCCCCCGGCCCGAAGGAGCUGCUGGCGGCGGCUCCGAGCUCCGCACGAGGCGGCCUCCGGCGGUGGCAGGGGUUGGACCUCGCGCGAGCUGAGUCCAGCUGCCCGCGCAGAGCUGGAGAGAGCGCGACGGCGAGUAGCGGGCGGCGGCGGGCCUCCUGCGUGAAGGAGCAGGCCUCGCGGGGCGCGGAGACCGGGCCGCGCGUGGCGCGGCGGCGGCUGGCGGCGGCCCGUCCGCACGCCGUUGUGCUCUGCGCCCCUCCCCUCCCUCGGUCCCUCCCCAUUCUUUUCUCUCUCCCUCUCUCGCUCUCUCCCCGGGCUCGGCCGCGACGGCGGUGGGCGCGAGGACGAGCAGGCGGCCAAGAAUGGGGUUGCAGCAAUCUAGUUGUCUGGCCGAAUCGUUGUGCCAGCUAUACCCGGUCGCUCAAGUUCUAUCUCUUUCCUAAGAGUAAAUGCACCCUAUAAUCGGAAGGGAAAAAAAACCAUGUCAACAUAGUGAGGCAAGUUGUGGUUCACUGUGCAAAUGCAUGCACACAGAUUUUCUUCAAAUAAACACUAGAUUUCGAAGUCAAGAUGACAUUUAUAUUUUAUAACAGAAGUGAGAAGCAAAUUAAAUGGAGUUGCUGCAGGCAUGCCAAAUGCGAGGCAGGACUCAGAAGCAUGGUCUGCCCGGGAUCUGGCUGGCCUGUGGUCAAUAAGGCCAAGCCUUAGUGGCUUAGUCAAGACUGCAGGGGAACAUCUGGGGUGCAAGCAGGCAAUCGGUGCAAGCAUGCAAGCAAUGCUCCACAUUCGCACGAUAUGAAUCCAACGGUGUCUUGGCUUUUUUGCACUUCGUGAGCGAUUUUGCUGGGCCGCCGAUGGCCAAUCCUCAUGUCCGCCGCCUCCUCCAUUGAGCUCCAUCAUCCGCACCGCAGCCACUCCCCAUUCACGCAGCCAUGCAGAUCCUCUGAUCUGAUUUGUCCAUCGUCGUCCCCUGCUGGUUCUUUGUACUUGUAGAAAAUCCAAUGUCAUGGCUAUAUUAUCAUUUAAAACUGCAUCUGCUGCUGUGCAAAUUUGAUUUCAUCUUGUCUGUAGAAAGGGACAUGGUUAUGAGCUAAUUUGAAGUA